GACGCAGUAGGAUAGGCGAAGCGUGCUGUUGGAGUGCACGUCCAAGCAGUGAGAUUGAGUGUUAGGCAAAUCCGGCACUCUUAAGAUUGAGCUGUGAUGGGGAGAGGAACUUGUUCCUCGAGUCGUUGAUUUCACACUGCCGAGAAAAGCCUCUAGCUAGAAUAACGGUGCCCGUACCGCAAACCGACACAGGUAGUCAAGAUGAGAAUUCUAAGGUGAGCGAGCGAACUCUCGUUAAGGAACUCGGCAAAAUGACCCCGUAACUUCGGGAGAAGGGGUGCUCUUUGAGGUUCACGCUUCGAAGAGCCGCAGUGAAUAGGCCCAAGCGACUGUUUAUCAAAAACACAGGUCUCUGCUAAACCGUAAGGUGACGUAUAGGGGCUGACGCCUGCCCGGUGCUGGAAGGUUAAGAGGAGUGGUUAGCGCAAGCGAAGCUACGAAUCGAAGCCCCAGUAAACGGCGGCCGUAACUAUAACGGUCCUAAGGUAGCGAAAUUCCUUGUCGGGUAAGUUCCGACCCGCACGAAAGGCGUAACGAUUUGGGCACUGUCUCAACGAGAGACUCGGUGAAAUCAUAGUACCGGUGAAGAUGCCGGUUACCCGCGACAGGACGGAAAGACCCCGUGGAGCUUUACUGUAGCCUGAUAUUGAAAUUCGGUACAGUUUGUACAGGAUAGGUAGGAGCCUUAGAAGCGUGAGCGCUAGCUUACGUGGAGGCAUUGGUGGGAUACUACCCUAAUUGUAUUGGAUUUCUAACCCGCAGCACUUAUCGUGCUGGGAGACAGUGUCAGGCGGGCAGUUUGACUGGGGCGGUCGCCUCCUAAAGAGUAACGGAGGCGCUCAAAGGUUCCCUCAGAAUGGUUGGAAAUCAUUCAUAGAGUGUAAAGGCAUAAGGGAGCUUGACUGCGAGACCUACAAGUCGAGCAGGGUCGAAAGACGGACUUAGUGAUCCGGUGGUUCCGCAUGGAAGGGCCAUCGCUCAACGGAUAAAAGCUACCCCGGGGAUAACAGGCUUAUCUCCCCCAAGAGUUCACAUCGACGGGGAGGUUUGGCACCUCGAUGUCGGCUCAUCGCAUCCUGGGGCUGUAGUCGGUCCCAAGGGUUGGGCUGUUCGCCCAUUAAAGCGGUACGCGAGCUGGGUUCAGAACGUCGUGAGACAGUUCGGUCCCUAUCCGUCGUGGGCGUAGGAAAUUUGAGAGGAGCUGUCCUUAGUACGAGAGGACCGGGAUGGACAUACCUCUGGUGUACCAGUUGUCGUGCCAACGGCAUAGCUGGGUAGCUAUGUAUGGACGGGAUAAGUGCUGAAAGCAUCUAAGCAUGAAGCCCCCCUCGAGAUGAGAUUUCCCAACUUCGGUUAUAAGAUCCCUCAAAGAUGAUGAGGUGAAUAGGUUCGAGGUGGAAGCGUAGUGAUACGUGGAGCUGACGAAUACUAAUCGAUCGAAGACUUAAUCAA
rnacentral:rRNA from 1 species